rnacentral:lncRNA from 1 species
GCCAAUGAUUGAUUAGUGCAAGGCAAUAGGCUUUCACCUUAUUACUCUUUCCCAGUAAAACAUCAUAACGUUUUCUUUUCUUUACCUAUAGAACUGAAUCACCCCCGCUUGUAUCUAGAGAAGCAUCCAUGUGCUGGCACUAUGAAAUUCGGUGCAGCACCAAAGACAGUAGGAUCCAUUAACAGUCAGCGACCAAUAUCUACCUACAAGUGAUUUGUCACCGCAUAGACGAAUUGCAGUUGCAGAGGGUUCAUGGUGUACCAGGUUGGUGCGGCUGUUGUCCCGGCCCCAUGCUAGCGCCGCCGUCUAUGUCACCUUGCGCCAAGCCGCCGCCGCCCCUGCAGCCUUGCUCGUGCAAUUGUCCUAUAAUACCCGGAUCGGAGAAAUCAGUGAAGAUUGGUGAGGGCUUCUCGCCGGAGCCUCCGGACCCGAGAAAACCUUUGCGGUGGUGGUGGCGGCGGCGUCCGCGGGGGCGGUGGAGGGUGGCAGCGACGUCCGUAGGAGAGGCCGAGCUCUCUGCUUUGGAGGUCGCAGCGGUGGUGUUCGUGACGGGGAAGGAGGGUGACAGGCGGCGCGUCCUCCUCCUCCUCCCGACCAAC